CUUCUUCACGACAUCUCUGAAGGCUAUGUCAUGUUUCUAGACUAUGUUUUAGCUACAGCUUCUUGAAGGUAAAUCCUCGAGGAGGUGAUGAUAGCUUGCUGUUAUUUUGACUACGCAACAUCUCUACAAAAAAACUGAGGAAAAAAUGAUUCUUGCAGAACCUACCCAAAUAUUUAUGUCAUCUAAUCAACAUUUUGAGGUAUCUUCUCUCUUGCGCUCUUUUAAACUUGAGUAAGUGUUUGUAUCAGUCAUCUCAUUAUAGGAUCAUGAUCACUUAUUAGGGUCACAGACAUAUCUAAGCAUGACUUUAUGUUUUAUUUGGAGAGACCAAGGUGAAAGAGCAAAGGCUUUGAGAAUGAGGCCUGGGAGAAAGACAGGAGCGCUGCAGCAGGAGACUCCGCCAAGCUUCGUCACGAGGAUAUGGUCCUACAAAAACAGAAAUACGUCAAGGUCAUAGUUAGUGCCUUAGUGACAAUAGCUUUGGUGAUAGAGUGAAAGCUGGCAGACGACAGAUGAUAUUCCCCGCGUUGCUGAUUUUCUGCACGGUUAAAAAGUGCUAGGAGAUUUCUCUGCUCCUCUUCCGAGUAGAACAAAUGUGAAAAAGUGCAGCUGAGUUUCUGUUGAGAGGAUCUCUGAGUAUCCGAUUGAAGUCACCAUUUUAGCCAUCAGACCUCUAACAUAAUCGUUAAUCUUAAAGCACAAUUUCAGUGGGUCAUCAUGGCAAUUUGAGUACUUGGUAGAGCUUUCUUUGCAUUAAGGAAUGACAAUCUCACAGCCGAAGCGAAUGCACAACACCCUCUGAAUUUCUUCUUGAAUCUUAUAUUAAUUAAAAGAAAAUGCUGAUUUCAUAUUGCGUAGGUUUUCUCCCCAUGUAUGCAGAUAUAUGGUGACCCGGAAUCAGCUAUGUUGUGUUCACGUCGGGAGCAGAGAUCACUGUUGUGUGGAUAAUCAUCACUUCCCAACCUAAACUAACAGGUGACAUGUGCAAAUUGUAAAGAGAUUGCCACGCCAAAUCUGAUGGUGUUCAUGUGAGUUUGAAAAGAAGCAAGUAUGUUUGGUGGGUUUUGUUCAAAUUAGAGAGUACAGGUGGUGAAACUGAGUGUUUUACGUUUGUUAUAUGAGAAAUGAGACUACUGUUUUGGAUUUAGUGGGAGAUGAAGUGUGUGGUACUAAUGAGGAGAAUGUGGUAUGCACCUUUUAUGAGCUGCUAUUUUAACAGUGUGAACAAUGUGUGUAUUCAUUAUUUGAUUUAAGCCUUUAACGUCA